GGGCAGAGAGACUUCUCUGAGGCCGUGGGACUGUCCAAGGACAGGGCUCUCCAGGCAGAUGGAAUGGCCCGUGUAGUGUCCAAGCCCAGAGCUCCUGCUGUCACUUGAGUAAGACCCAGCCGACCCUGCUGUCAUGUCCAGCUCUUGGUCAGACGGUAAGUGUGUGGAACGACCGGUAGGCUCAAGGUUUAUAGCCACGCUCCCCACAGCCCCUUUAACCUUUUCCUCCAGAUCCUGGGAAACCAGACAAGCAGUCCCCUGUCGAUCGCCUGCAUUCUCUGCUCCUUGUUGCUGUGGAGCCACCUGCCUGGCUCUCCCAGUGUCACUUUUGGCCAUCGGUGUAAUUUACUUCUGGUUGAAAGCCUCAAACACCAAGAAGCACAUCAUCUGAAAUACCCCUGACAUGUCUCUCACCGUCGGUGCGGGGCAAGUUGUGCACACCUAAGACUGUCGGUUGAGAUUUCAGCUGAAGGAGAGCAGAGAUGAAGUUACCCGGCACCAAAUACGAGGCAGGCCUCUGUGGGCCCCAUCCACAGCCAGCCGUUGCCGGGCUCCCUGGUGGGCACACUCUUUCUGGCCUUGCUGAAAGAUGGUUUGCUCGGAUGAAAUAAAUACGCCCCUAAUUGUCUGUGGUGCAGGAAAGCAAUCCCAUAAGCAUUAAUUUGCCCAAGCCCAGAGUGUGUGAGCAGGAGCCUGCCUGACAUGUUUUUCUUUUCUAUUAACACUUCUGUGAUAAACAGCUUAGAUGCACCGAGAAAAAUUAAUGAAACUAUUGUAACAACCAUGCACAUGUAGGUAAUUUAUUAAGGACAAUUAAAAAGCUUUAAAAAUCAUCCAUGGGGCAAAAUGAACAGGAAGAUGGUGUGUGGAGGAUUUUGGCAGGGAGCCUCCCCGUGGGUUUAUGGAGCAGGUUUCUCCUCCCACACCCCUCACCCCUGUUAGAGUGAACAACAGCGGAGGGCGUGGAUCUCGGCUGGCGAAACCUUUAAUGACAAAUUCCAUGUAGACUCCUGGUUUCCAGAAGCCGGGGUGGGAACAGGGUAUGGGGAGCUGUGAGGGACAGAUCUUUGAGGUCCAGGAAAGCUAUCUGGGACCUGUUUGGCUUUGAGGUCUUGGGACAGAGGUAUGCGUGUCCCUGGACCUCACCUCCAAGGGUUCCUGGGUCGAGGAAGGGAGUUCCCUCCCUCCUGGGUAACAUUUGGUCAUUUCUGUAAGGGCUCUAGUUUGGGUUGUCUCUGGGAGCCUCCAAAGCAGGUGAGGAGCAGAAGAGGAAGCCUUGAGAGGUCAAGGUGGUACUGUGAUGGUGUCAUUAGCCAUUUACUAGCGCAGACCUUGGGUUGGCCUCUGCCUAAGUCCCCUGAGACUCAGCUUCCUAAUCUGCAAAAUGGGGAUAACAGAUAGAAGUAGGUGGGGGGAAACUGGAGUGAAGGUCACCCAAGAUUCAUGCAUGCAGAGUGCUUUGCGUGAUCCCUGACACCUAGGUAGUCAGUGCUUAGUAAAUGUUAACUAGUCUUGGUCAUCAUCGAGGACUUCAUUGUUGGGUUGUUGACUGAAGGCCGAGCUAGGGGCGAAACCCACAUCUCUACCCCCCAGGCCUAUACCUACCGGCCCACCCUGUGCAUCCCCCAUCACAGGUCUUGAGUGACCAGAAUGCACACAUAAUGGCCGGUGUGAGCACCGAAAUGCCCUCACUGGACCUACUCAGAGGGAUGGGGCUGCCAUGCUUCCUCCUGGUCUCCAAUCCACCCCUUCUCCAUCCACGUCCUGCUUUAUAGACCCAGAGUAACUGAUCUUCCCCAUCUUGGCAUUGUCUUCACAUAUAUAUGAGGGACUGGGUUUGCUAAGAUUUUUUUUUCUAAUUGGUUGAUGACCCAAGAAAUCUUUGACCUUGUAGACCAGCAGUUUCUCAAACAUAGAUACAUUUAAUAAAGCAAACCUCUGUUAAUGGA